rnacentral:rRNA from 1 species
GGCGGCGUGCCUAAUACAUGCAAGUCGAGCGGAAUGAUGAAGAAGCUUGCUUCUUCUGAUUUUAGCGGCGGACGGGUGAGUAACACGUGGGCAACCUACCUUGUAGAUUGGGAUAACUCCGGGAAACCGGGGCUAAUACCGAAUAAUCCAUUUUGCUUCAUGGCAAGAUGUUGAAAGGCGGCUUCGGCUGUCACUACGAGAUGGGCCCGCGGCGUAUUAGCUAGUUGGUAGGGUAAUGGCCUACCAAGGCGACGAUACGUAGCCGACCUGAGAGGGUGAUCGGCCACACUGGGACUGAGACACGGCCCAGACUCCUACGGGAGGCAGCAGUAGGGAAUCUUCCACAAUGGACGAAAGUCUGAUGGAGCAACGCCGCGUGAGUGAAGAAGGUUUUCGGAUCGUAAA